GUCUACGGCCAUGCCACCCUGAACAAGCCCAAUCCCAUCUGAUCUCGGAAGCUAAGCACAGUCGAGCCUAGUUAGUACUUGGAUGGGAGAUCACCUACGAAGACCAGCUGCUGUAGGCA
rnacentral:rRNA from 1 species